rnacentral:rRNA from 1 species
GAUGAACGCUGGCGGCGUGCCUAAUACAUGCAAGUCGAGCGAACAGACGAGAAGCUUGCUUCUCUGAUGUUAGCGGCGGACGGGUGAGUAACACGUGGAUAACCUACCUAUAAGACUGGGAUAACUUCGGGAAGCCGGAGCUAAUACCGGAUAAUAUUUUGAACCGCAUGGUUCAAAAGUGAAAGACGGUCUUGCUGUCACUUAUAGAUGGAUCCGCGCUGCAUUAGCUAGUUGGUAAGGUAACGGCUUACCAAGGCAACGAUGCAUAGCCGACCUGAGAGGGUGAUCGGCCACACUGGAACUGAGACACGGUCCAGACUCCUACGGGAGGCAGCAGUAGGGAAUCUUCCGCAAUGGGCGAAAGCCUGACGGAGCAACGCCGCGUGAGUGAUGAAGGUCUUCGGAUCGUAAAACUCUGUUAUUAGGGAAGAACAUAUGUGUAAGUAACUGUGCACAUCUUGACGGUACCUAAUCAGAAAGCCACGGCUAACUACGUG